UGAUAGCUUAGAAGCGUGAGGUUGCCGACCGAAAGGCCGGGUUUUCCGUGGAGCGAAUGUCAUGAGUCAAUUCUGGCGACAA
rnacentral:ncRNA from 1 species